rnacentral:rRNA from 1 species
GCUGUAAGGCGCCACUAAAAGAUGAGGGUGCGGAACAUUAGUUAGUUGGUGAGGUAAUGGCCCACCAAGACUAUGAUGUUUAGCCGGGUCGAGAGACUGAACGGCCACAUUGGGACUGAGAUACGGCCCAAACUCCUACGGGAGGCAGCAGUAGGGAAUAUUCCACAAUGAGCGAAAGCUUGAUGGAGCGACACAGCGUGCACGAUGAAGGUCUUCGGAUUGUAAAGUGCUGUUAUAAGGGAAGAACAUUUGCAAUAGGAAAUGAUUGCAGACUGACGGUACC